rnacentral:tRNA from 1 species
GUCUGAUUGGUGCAAUGGUCAGAGCCCUUGACUGUUGCGUCAAGGGUCGUGGGUUCGAAUCCCGCAUCGGGCA